rnacentral:rRNA from 1 species
GAACGAUGCUUUCGGGCAUAGUGGCGCACGGGUGCGUAACGCGUGGGAAUCUGCCCCUUGGUUCGGAAUAACAGUUAGAAAUGACUGCUAAUACCGGAUGACGACGUAAGUCCGAAGAUUUAUCGCCGAGGGAUGAGCCCGCGUAGGAUUAGCUAGUUGGUGUGGUAAAGGCGCACCAAGGCGACGAUCCUUAGCUGGUCUGAGAGGAUGAUCAGCCACACUGGGACUGAGACACGGCCCAGACUCCUACGGGAGGCAGCAGUGGGGAAUAUUGGACAAUGGGCGCAAGCCUGAUCCAGCAAUGCCGCGUGAGUGAUGAAGGCCUUAGGGUUGUAAAGCUCUUUUACCCGGGAUGAUAAUGACAGUACCGGGAGAAUAAGCCCCGGCUAACUCCGUG